rnacentral:rRNA from 1 species
AGAACGAACGCUGGCGGCAUGCCUAACACAUGCAAGUCGAACGCUCUCUUCGGAGGGAGUGGCGCACGGGUGAGUAACGCGUGGGAACCUGCCUUGGAGUGGGGGAUAACCGAUGGAAACGUCGGCUAAUACCGCAUACGUCCUGAGGGAGAAAGAUUUAUCGCUCUGAGAGGGGCCCGCGUCGGAUUAGCUAGUUGGUGGGGUAACGGCUCACCAAGGCGACAAUCCGUAGCUGGUCUGAGAGGACGACCAGCCACACUGGGACUGAGACACGGCCCAGACUCCUACGGGAGGCAGCAGUGGGGAAUAUUGGACAAUGGGGGCAACCCUGAUCCAGCGACGCCGCGUGUGUGAAGAAGGCCUGCGGGUUGUAAAGCACUUUUAGUGGGACAAAAAGCUACGGGCUAAUACCUUGUAGUCUUGAUUUAACCAAAGAAAAGCACCGGCUAACUCUGCGCCAGCAGCCGC